UACAGAGGGGGCGAGCGUUGUUCGGAAUUACUGGGCGUAAAGGGCCAGUAGGCGGCCAACUAAGUCGGAUGUGAAAUCCCCAGGCUUAACCUGGGAACUGCAUCCGAUACUGGAUGGCUUGAAUUCGGGAGAGGGAUGCAGAAUUCCAGGUGUAGCGGUGAAAUGCGUAGAUAUCUGGAGGAAUACCGGUGGCGAAGGCGGCAUCCUGGACCGACAUUGACGCUGAACGGCGAAAGCUAGGGGAGCAAACGGG
rnacentral:rRNA from 1 species